rnacentral:rRNA from 1 species
CGGACGGGUGAGUAACGCGUGGGUAACCUGCCAUAUACAGGGGGAUAACACUUAGAAAUAGGUGCUAAUACCGCAUAAGCGCACAGGGGCGCAUGCCCCGGUGUGAAAAACUCCGGUGGUAUAUGAUGGGCCCGCGUCUGAUUAGCCAGUUGGCAGGGUAACGGCCUACCAAAGCGACGAUCAGUAGCCGGCCUGAGAGGGCGGACGGCCACAUUGGGACUGAGACACGGCCCAGACUCCUACGGAAGGCAGCAG